AGGAUUAUAGUUUUAUUAAAACAUUUGAUUUGCACUCAAAAAAUAUUGACAUUUAUCAAUUUAUCUUA
rnacentral:tRNA from 1 species